rnacentral:tRNA from 1 species
GGCGUGGUGGCCAAGGGGUAAGGCGUUGGUCUCGUAAACCAAAGAUCAUGGGUUCAAAUCCCAUCCACGCCA